GAUGAACGCUAGCUGCAGGCUUAAUACAUGCAAGUCGAGGGGCAGCAUGAAUGUAGCAAUCAAUGUGAUAGCGACAGGCACACGGGGGCGGAACACGUACAUACACUCCCUAUAAGAGGUGAAGAGCCCCGAGAAAUUUGGAUUAAUACCCCGUACCAUAAUGAUGUGGCGUCAGAUUAUUAUUAUAGAUACGGCGGGUUCGCAGUGGCGUGCGUCUGAUUAGGUACUUGGCGGGGUAACGGCCCACCAAGCCUACGAUCAGUAACUGGUGUGAGAGCAAGACCAGUCACACGGGAACUGAGACACGGGCCCAACUCCUACGGGAGGCAGCAGUAAGGAAUAUUGGUCAAUGGACGCAAGUCUGAACCAGCCAAGCCGCGUGAAGGAUGACGGCCCUCUGGGUUGUAAACUUCUUUUAUCUGGGACGAAAAAGGGGCAUUCUUGCUCAACUGUCGGUACCAGAUGAAUAAGCACCGGCUAACUCCGUGCCAGCAGCCGCCGUAAGAC
rnacentral:rRNA from 1 species